CAGCAGUCGCCGCGGUAAUACGAAGGGUGCAAGCGUUACUCGGAAUUACUGGGCGUAAAGCGUGCGUAGGUGGUGGUUUAAGUCCGCUGUGAAAGCCCUGGGCUCAACCUGGGAAUUGCAGUGGAUACUGGGCAACUAGAGUAAGGUAGAGGAUAGUGGAAUUUCCGGUGUAGCAGUGAAAUGCGUAGAGAUCGGAAGGAACAUCUGUGGCGAAGGCGACUAUCUGGGCCAUUACUGACACUGAGGCACGAAAGCGUGGGGAGCAAACAGGAUUAGAUACCCGUGUAGUCCCUGUCUCUUAUAC
rnacentral:rRNA from 1 species